CCGGACCUGACUGCUAUCGGAUUGGUACUAAGCCAUGCGAGUCAUUGUAGCAAUACAAGGCGGACGGCUCAGUAACACGUAGUCAACCUAACUCGUGGACGUGGAUAACCUCGGGAAACUGAGAAUAAACCACGAUAGAUCAUAGUGCCUGGAAUGGCUUAUGGUCCAAACAGUUUACUGCCAUGGGAUGGGACUGCGGCCUAUCAGCUUGUUGGUGAGGUAAUGGCCCACCAAGGCGAUUACAGGUACGGGCUCUGAGAGGAGAAGCCCGGAGAUGGGUACUGAGACACGGACCCAGGCCCUAUGGGGCGCAGCAGGCGAGAAACCUUAGCAAUGUGCGAAAGCACGACUGGGUCAGUCCGAGUGAUUCCUGAUAAAGGAGUCUUUUGCCUGUCCUAAAAGCACAGGUGAAUAAGGGGUGGGCAAGUCUGGUGUCAGCCGCCGCGGUAAUACCAGCACCUCGAGUGGUCAGGACGUUUAUUGGGCCUAAAGCAUCCGUAGCCGGCUCUGCAAGUCUUCGGUUAAAUCCACCUGCUCAACAGAUGGGCCGCUGGAGAUACUACAGAGCUAGGGAGUGGGAGAGGCAGACGGUAUUCAGUGGGUAGGGGUAAAAUCCUCUGAUCCAUUGAGGACCACCAGUGGCGAAGGCGGUCUGCCAGAACACGUUCGACGGUGAGGGAUGAAAGCUGGGGGAGCAAACCGGAUUAGAUACCCGGGUAGUCCAGCUGUAAACGAUGCAAACUCGGUGAUGCAUUGGCUUAUGGCCAAUGCAGUGCCGCAGGGAAGCCGUUAAGUUUGCCGCCUGGGAAGUACGGACGCAAGUCUGAAACUUAAAGGAAUUGGCGGGGGAGCACCACAAGGGUGAAGCCUGCGGUUCAAUUGGAUUCAACGCCGG
rnacentral:rRNA from 1 species